UACAGUUUUUCAGACUUACAAUAUAUCUCUUACUCUUCCGUCUUAGUGUUCUAGUUAGACUCAGAAAUUCUCUAGAAAAUUUUCUACACGGAGUUACUAUCACGGAUUGCUCAUAAGGGAUCUUGAAAAUUUCGGAAUUUCCACUGACUACGUCAAGCGUACGAAAAUAAAUACUGAAAAAGUACUAUACAACGAUAUGUUUCCUGUAAAAAUCAUUGGCAAUGGCAAUGACGAUACGAAUAAGAAAUUCGAAAAGGCAAAAUCAGGUUUUUUCGAUUUUGAAACGGACAUACUAUGGUUCAAUGUUCUGCAACUUGUUGUGUUGCAUACCAUUGGUAUUUAUGGUUUACUAACUUUCGACUACAUGAAAAAUCCGAUGACUACACUGUGGAUAAUCGGCAUGUACAUCAUAUCCAAUUUUGGUGCGGCUG